CCUACGGGAGGCAGCAGGGAGGAAUAUUGGUCAAUGGACGAGAGUCUGAACCAGCCAAGUAGCGUGAAGGAUGACUGCCCUAUGGGUUGUAAACUUCUUUUAUAUGGGAAUAAAAUGUUCCACGUGUGGGUUUUUGUAUGUACCCUAUGAAUAAGGAUCGGCUAACUCCGUGCCAGCAGCCGCGGUAAUACGGAGGAUCCGAGCGUUAUCCGGAUUUAUUGGGUUUAAAGGGAGCGUAGGUGGGUUGUUAAGUCAGUUGUGAAAGUUUGCGGCUCAACCGUAAAAUUGCAGUUGAAACUGGCAGUCUUGAGUACAGUAGAGGUGGGCGGAAUUCGUGGUGUAGCGGUGAAAUGCUUAGAUAUCACGAAGAACUCCGAUUGCGAAGGCAGCUCACUGGACUGCAACUGACACUGAGGCUCGAAAGUGUGGGUAUCAAACAGGAUUAGAUACCCCAGUAGUC
rnacentral:rRNA from 1 species